rnacentral:rRNA from 1 species
UACGGAGGGUGCGAGCGUUGUCCGGAAUCAUUGGGCGUAAAGGGCGCGUAGGCGGCGUGACAAGUCACUUGUGAAAUCUCCGGGCUUAACUCGGAGCGGCCAAGUGAUACUGUCGUGCUAGAGUGCGGAAGGGGCUACUGGAAUUCUCGGUGUAGCGGUGAAAUGCGUAGAUACCGAGAGGAACACCUGCGGCGAAGGCGGGUAGCUGGGCCGACACUGACGCUGAGGCGCGAAAGCUAGGGGAGCGAACGGG